rnacentral:rRNA from 1 species
GGUCAAGUGAAGAAGCGCAUACGGUGGAUGCCUUGGCAGUCAGAGGCGAUGAAAGACGUGGUAGCCUGCGAAAAGCUUCGGGGAGUCGGCAAACAGACUUUGAUCCGGAGAUCUCUGAAUGGGGGAACCCACCUAGGAUAACCUAGGUAUCUUGUACUGAAUCCAUAGGUGCAAGAGGCGAACCAGGGGAACUGAAACAUCUAAGUACCCUGAGGAAAAGAAAUCAACCGAGAUUCCCUUAGUAGUGGCGAGCGAACGGGGAUUAGCCCUUAAGCUUCAUUGAUUUUAGCGGAACGCUCUGGAAAGUGCGGCCAUAGUGGGUGAUAGCCCCGUACGCGAAAGGAUCUUUGAAGUGAAAUCGAGUAGGACGGAGCACGAGAAACUUUGUCUGAACAUGGGGGGACCAUCCUCCAAGGCUAAAUACUACUGACUGACCGAUAGUGAACCAGUACCGUGAGGGAAAGGCGAAAAGAACCCCGGAGAGGGGAGUGAAAUAGAACCUGAAACCGUAUGCGUACAAGCAGUGGGAGCCUACUUGUUAGGUGACUGCGUACCUUUUGUAUAAUGGGUCAGCGACUUAUAUUCAGUGGCAAGCUUAACCGUAUAGGGUAGGCGUAGCGAAAGCGAGUCUUAAUAGGGCGUUUAGUCGCUGGGUAUAGACCCGAAACCGGGCGAUCUAUCCAUGAGCAGGUUGAAGGUUAGGUAACACUGACUGGAGGACCGAACCCACUCCCGUUGAAAAGGUAGGGGAUGACUUGUGGAUCGGAGUGAAAGGCUAAUCAAGCUCGGAGAUAGCUGGUUCUCCUCGAAAGCUAUUUAGGUAGCGCCUCAUGUAUCACUCUGGGGGGUAAGCACUGUUUCGGCUAGGGGGUCAUCCCGACUUACCAAACCGAUGCAAACUCCGAAUACCCAGAAGUGCCGAGCAUGGGAGACACACGGCGGGUGCUAACGUCCGUCGUGAAAAGGGAAACAACCCAGACCGCCAGCUAAGGUCCCAAAGUUGUGGUUAAGUGGUAAACGAUGUGGGAAGGCUUAGACAGCUAGGAGGUUGGCUUAGAAGCAGCCAUCCUUUAAAGAAAGCGUAAUAGCUCACUAGUCGAGUCGGCCUGCGCGGAAGAUGUAACGGGGCUCAAACCACACACCGAAGCUGCGGGUGUCACGUAAGUGACGCGGUAGAGGAGCGUUCUGUAAGCCUGUGAAGGUGAGUUGAGAAGCUUGCUGGAGGUAUCAGAAGUGCGAAUGCUGACAUGAGUAACGACAAUGGGUGUGAAAAACACCCACGCCGAAAGACCAAGGGUUCCUGCGCAACGUUAAUCGACGCAGGGUUAGUCGGUUCCUAAGGCGAGGCUGAAAAGCGUAGUCGAUGGGAAACAGGUUAAUAUUCCUGUACUUCUGGUUACUGCGAUGGAGGGACGGAGAAGGCUAGGCCAGCUUGGCGUUGGUUGUCCAAGUUUAAGGUGGUAGGCUGAAAUCUUAGGUAAAUCCGGGGUUUCAAGGCCGAGAGCUGAUGACGAGUCGUCUUUUAGAUGACGAAGUGGUUGAUGCCAUGCUUCCAAGAAAAGCUUCUAAGCUUCAGGUAACCAGGAACCGUACCCCAAACCGACACAGGUGGUCGGGUAGAGAAUACCAAGGCGCUUGAGAGAACUCGGGUGAAGGAACUAGGCAAAAUGGCACCGUAACUUCGGGAGAAGGUGCGCCGGCUAGGGUGAAGGAUUUACUCCGUAAGCUCUGGCUGGUCGAAGAUACCAGGCCGCUGCGACUGUUUAUUAAAAACACAGCACUCUGCAAACACGAAAGUGGACGUAUAGGGUGUGACGCCUGCCCGGUGCCGGAAGGUUAAUUGAUGGGGUUAGCGCAAGCGAAGCUCUUGAUCGAAGCCCCGGUAAACGGCGGCCGUAACUAUAACGGUCCUAAGGUAGCGAAAUUCCUUGUCGGGUAAGUUCCGACCUGCACGAAUGGCGUAACGAUGGCGGCGCUGUCUCCACCCGAGACUCAGUGAAAUUGAAAUCGCUGUGAAGAUGCAGUGUAUCCGCGGCUAGACGGAAAGACCCCGUGAACCUUUACUGUAGCUUUGCACUGGACUUUGAGCCUGCUUGUGUAGGAUAGGUGGGAGGCUUUGAAGCGUGGACGCCAGUUCGCGUGGAGCCAUCCUUGAAAUACCACCCUGGCAUGCUUGAGGUUCUAACUCUGGUCCGUGAUCCGGAUCGAGGACAGUGUAUGGUGGGCAGUUUGACUGGGGCGGUCUCCUCCUAAAGAGUAACGGAGGAGUACGAAGGUGCGCUCAGACCGGUCGGAAAUCGGUCGCAGAGUAUAAAGGCAAAAGCGCGCUUGACUGCGAGACAGACACGUCGAGCAGGUACGAAAGUAGGUCUUAGUGAUCCGGUGGUUCUGUAUGGAAGGGCCAUCGCUCAACGGAUAAAAGGUACUCCGGGGAUAACAGGCUGAUACCGCCCAAGAGUUCAUAUCGACGGCGGUGUUUGGCACCUCGAUGUCGGCUCAUCACAUCCUGGGGCUGAAGCCGGUCCCAAGGGUAUGGCUGUUCGCCAUUUAAAGUGGUACGCGAGCUGGGUUUAGAACGUCGUGAGACAGUUCGGUCCCUAUCUGCCGUGGACGUUUGAGAUUUGAGAGGGGCUGCUCCUAGUACGAGAGGACCGGAGUGGACGAACCUCUGGUGUUCCGGUUGUCACGCCAGUGGCAUUGCCGGGUAGCUAUGUUCGGAAAAGAUAACCGCUGAAAGCAUCUAAGCGGGAAACUUGCCUCAAGAUGAGAUCUCACUGGGAACUUGAUUCCCCUGAAGGGCCGUCGAAGACUACGACGUUGAUAGGCUGGGUGUGUAAGCGUUGUGAGGCGUUGAGCUAACCAGUACUAAUUGCCCGUGAGGCUUGACCAU